rnacentral:rRNA from 1 species
CCCAUAAAGUUGUUCUCAGUUCGGAUUGUAGUCUGCAACUCGACUACAUGAAGCUGGAAUCGCUAGUAAUCGUAGAUCAGCAUGCUACGGUGAAUACGUUCCCGGGUCUUGUACACACCGCCCGUCACACCACGAGAGUUUGUAACACCCGAAGCCGGUGGAGUAACCUUUUAGGAGCUAGCCGUCGAAGGUGGGACAAAUGAUUGGGGUGAAGUCGUAACAAGGUAGCCGUAUCGGAAGGUGCGGCUGGAUCACCUCCUUU